GAGAGGUUGGCGCGGGCAGAUGUCCCGCCAAAUCGGUCAGGUCCGGAAGGAAGCAGCCGUAACGGGAUCCGUUUGGGUCGCUGUCCAGCCUCUCACC
rnacentral:SRP_RNA from 1 species